AUUGAACGCUGGCGGCAGGCUUAACACAUGCAAGUCGAACGAGUGGCGGACGGGUGAGUUAUGCUUGGGAAUCUUUCUUAUCGAGGGGGAUAACUACGGGAAACUGUAGCUAAUACCGCUCACCUCAGGAUGAGCCCAAGUGGGAUUAGGUAGUUGGUGGGGUAAAGGCUCACCAAGCCGACGAUCUCUAGCUGGUCUGAGAGGAUGACCAGCCACACUGGGACUGAGACACGGCCCAGACUCCUACGGGAGGCAGCAGUGGGGAAUAUUGCGCAAUGGGGGCAACCUGACGCAGCCAUGCCGCGUGAAUGAAGAAGGCCUUCGGGUUGUAAAGUUCUUUCGGUAGCGAGGCGUUAACUACAGAAGAAGCACCGGCUAACUCCGUGCCAGCCGCCGCGGUAAUAC
rnacentral:rRNA from 1 species